UAGAAUGUUGAUCUCUCUGUUGGAACACAACUUGGCUAUAGUUUUCUAACAGCCUUGUCUACACAUGUAACCAGUUUACUCUUAAGUCCCUGGAUUAGUUAGUCAAAAGGUGCUCUAGAGAAACAGAACCAAAGAAUGUGUAUACAGAGGCAUAUUUAUUUCAAAGAAUUGGCUCAUGUAAUUGUGAAAGCUUGGUUAAGGCCAAAAUUAAGCAGGGCAGAGACUUAGGAAAGAGUUGCAGUUGUGUUCAAAAGCAGUCAGCUGGCUGAAUUUAUCCUCACUUGGAAAAGAAAUGAAUGAGUGAUACAAUUACAUCACAUCCUCAUCAGUUUUUGAUGUCAUCGCAAUUUUUAGGCCAUUG
rnacentral:lncRNA from 1 species